rnacentral:rRNA from 1 species
UAUUGAACCCUGUUGCUUCGGCGGGCCCGCCGCUUGUCGGCCGCCGGGGGGGCGCCUCUGCCCCCCGGGCCCGUGCCCGCCGGAGACCCCAACACGAACACUGUCUGAAAGCGUGCAGUCUGAGUUGAUUGAAUGCAAUCAGUUAAAACUUUCAACAAUGGAUCUCUUGGUUCCGGCAUCGAUGAAGAACGCAGCGAAAUGCGAUAACUAAUGUGAAUUGCAGAAUUCAGUGAAUCAUCGAGUCUUUGAACGCACAUUGCGCCCCCUGGUAUUCCGGGGGGCAUGCCUGUCCGAGCGUCAUUGCUGCCCUCAAGCCCGGCUUGUGUGUUGGGUCGCCGUCCCCCUCUCCGGGGGGACGGGCCCGAAAGGCAGCGGCGGCACCGCGUCCGAUCCUCGAGCGUAUGGGGCUUUGUCACAUGCUCUGUAGGAUUGGCCGGCGCCUGCCGACGUUUUCCAACCAUUCUUUCCAGGUUGACCUCGGAUCAGGUAGGGAUACCCGCUGAACUUAAGCAUAUCAAUAAGCGGAGGAAAAGAAACCAACCGGGAUUGCCUCAGUAACGGCGAGUGAAGCGGCAAGAGCUCAAAUUUGAAAGCUGGCUCCUUCGGAGUCCGCAUUGUAAUUUGCAGAGGAUGCUUUGGGUGCGGCCCCCGUCUAAGUGCCCUGGAACGGGCCGUCAGAGAGGGUGAGAAUCCCGUCUUGGGCGGGGUGUCCGUGCCCGUGUAAAGCUCCUUCGACGAGUCGAGUUGUUUGGGAAUGCAGCUCUAAAUGGGUGGUAAAUUUCAUCUAAAGCUAAAUACUGGCCGGAGACCGAUAGCGCACAAGUAGAGUGAUCGAAAGAUGAAAAGCACUUUGAAAAGAGAGUUAAACAGCACGUGAAAUUGUUGAAAGGGAAGCGCUUGCGACCAGACUCGCCCGCGGGGUUCAGCCGGCAUUCGUGCCGGUGUACUUCCCCGUGGGCGGGCCAGCGUCGGUUUGGGCGGCCGGUCAAAGGCCCCUGGAAUGUAGUGCCC